rnacentral:rRNA from 1 species
GUGGGGAAUAUUGGACAAUGGGGGGAACCCUGAUCCAGCCAUGCCGCGUGUGUGAAGAAGGCCUUUUGGUUGUAAAGCACUUAAAGCGAGGAGGAGGCUACCGAGAUUAAUACUCUUGGAUAGUGGACGUUACUCGCAGAAUAAGCACCGGCUAACUCUGUGCCAGCAGCCGCGGUAAUACAGAGGGUGCAAGCGUUAAUCGGAUUUACUGGGCGUAAAGCGCGCGUAGGUGGCCAAUUAAGUCAAAUGUGAAAUCCCCGAGCUUAACUUGGGAAUUGCAUUCGAUACUGGUUGGCUAGAGUAUGGGAGAGGAUGGUAGAAUUCCAGGUGUAGCGGUGAAAUGCGUAGAGAUCUGGAGGAAUACCGAUGGCGAAGGCAGCCAUCUGGCCUAAUACUGACACUGAGGUGCGAAAGCAUGGGGAGCAAACAGGAUUAGAUACCCGUGUAGUCC